rnacentral:rRNA from 1 species
UACGUAGGGUGCAAGCGUUAAUCGGAAUUACUGGGCGUAAAGCGUGCGCAGGCGGUUUUGUAAGACUGACGUGAAAUCCCCGGGCUCAACCUGGGAAUGGCGUUGGUGACUGCAAGGCUAGAGUUUGGCAGAGGGGGGUAGAAUUCCACGUGUAGCAGUGAAAUGCGUAGAUAUCAGGAGGAAUACCGAUGGCGAAGGCAGGUCUCUGGGCUGACACUGACGCUCAUGCACGAAAGCGUGGGGAGCAAACAGG